rnacentral:rRNA from 1 species
UCCCGCAACGAGCGCAACCCUUGCCAUCAGUUGCUACGAAAGGGCACUCUGAUGGGACUGCCGGUGACAAACCGGAGGAAGGUGGGGAUGACGUCAAGUCCUCAUGGCCCUUAUAGGUGGGGCUACACACGUCAUACAAUGGCCGGUACAAAGGGCAGCCAACCCGCGAGGGGGAGCCAAUCCCACAAAGCCGGUCGUAGUCCGGAUCGCAGUCUGCAACUCGACUGCGUGAAGUCGGAAUCGCUAGUAAUCGUGGAUCAGCAUGUCACGGUGAAUACGUUCCCGGGUCUUGUACACACCGCCCGUA